UACAGAGGGUGCAAGCGUUAAUCGGAAUUACUGGGCGUAAAGCGUGCGUAGACGGUUAUAUAAGUCGGGUGUGAAAGCCCCGGGCUCAACCUGGGAAUUGCAUUCGAGACUGCAUAGCUAGGGUGCGGAAGAGGGAAGCGGAAUUUCCGGUGUAGCGGUGAAAUGCGUAGAUAUCGGAAGGAAGACCAGUGGCGAAGGCGGGUCUCUGGACAGUUCCUGACGCUGAGGCACGAAGGCCAGGGGAGCAAACGGG
rnacentral:rRNA from 1 species